rnacentral:ncRNA from 1 species
UUUCCCUCAGGAUAGCUGGCAUUCUGGGACAUAAACACUUUUAUCCGGUAAAGCGAAUAAUUAGAGGCAUCGGGGAGAAAACAUCCUCAACCUAUUCUCAAACUUUAAAUGGGUGAGAAGCUUAACUCGCUUAAAUGGAGUUUUGUAUUGAAUGUGAGUGCCA